rnacentral:rRNA from 1 species
GAUGAACGCUGGCGGUAUGCCUAACACAUGCAAGUCGUACGAGAGUUUUUAAUUCUAGUGGCGGACGGGUGAGUAACACGUGAGAAUUUACCUUUAGGAGGGGGAUAACAAUUGGAAACGAAUGCUAAUACCCCAUAUGCUUUUGAGUGAAAUGGAUUUAUAAUUAUCCGCCUAAAGAAAAGCUCGCGGCUGAUUAGCUUGUUGGUAAGGUAAGAGCUUACCAAGGCGACGAUCAGUAUCUGGUUUGAGAGGACGAUCAGACACACUGGAACUGAGACACGGUCCAGACUCCUACGGGAGGCAGCAGUGGGGAAUUUUCCGCAAUGGGCGAAAGCCUGACGGAGCAAUACCGCGUGAGGGAAGACUGCCUAUGGGUUGUAAACCUCUUUUUUCAGGGAGGACAAAAUGACGUGUACCUGAAGAAUAAGCAUCGGCUAACUCCGUG